GUGCUGAAGUGAGAUUGUUUUGCGAUUUUGGGCCGUACGAGGCCGCUGGCAAGAGUAUUAACGUUUGUAAAUUUUCUAGGUGUGUUCUGAGACAUUUGUAAGUGUCUUAAAAAGGAGCGACGCAUAUUGGUUGUAAAAAGUUUCGAAAUCUCUAUAGAAUUCGAUUAUGAUAACGCAUCUUUUCCUAUGUGGGAGUAUACGAGUAUACGCACCCACUCCCCCCCCCCUUUUUAUAGAGGGGGAUAGCUAAACUCGUCAUUCGACGAGCUGCCUACGUACCUCUUUCGAGGAUCAAGCCAUC
rnacentral:lncRNA from 1 species